rnacentral:rRNA from 1 species
UCCUGACACAGGGAGGUAGUGACAAGAAAUAACAAAGCAAGCCUGUAAUCAGGUCUUGCUAUUGGAAUGAGUAAAAUUUAAAUCUCUUUACGACUAUCAAUUGGAGGGCAAGUCUGGUGCCAGCAGCCGCGGUAAUUCCAGCUCCAAUAGCGUAUAUUAAAGUUGUUGCGGUUAAAAAGCUCGUAGUUGGAUUUCUGUCGAAGACGGUCGGUCCGCUCUAUGAGCGUGCAUCUGAUUCGGCUUUGGCAUCCUCGUGGGGAACGUAACUGUGCUUGAUUGCAUGGUGCGGAAUUCACGACUUUUACUUUGAGGAAAUUAGAGUGUUCACGGCAGGCAAGCGCCUUGAAUAUAUUAGCAUGGAAUAAUAAUAUAGGACUUUGGUUCUAUUUUGUUGGUUUCUAGGACUAAAGUAAUGAUUAAUAGGGAUAAUUGGGGGCAUUUGUAUUAACGCGUCAGAGGUGGAAUUCUUGGAUUGCGUUACGACAAACUACUGCGAAAGCAUUUGCCAAGGAUGUUUUCAUUGAUCAAGAACGAAAGUAUGGGGAUCGAAGAUGAUUAGAUACCGUCGUAGUCUAUACCAUAAACUAUGCCGACUAGAGAUUGGAGGUCGUUCUUUCCAUGACUCCUUCAGCACCUUAUGAGAAAUCAAAGUCUUUGGGUUCCGGGGGGAGUAUGGUCGCAAGGCUGAAACUUAAAGGAAUUGACGGAAGGGCACCACCAGGAGUGGAGCCUGCGGCUUAAUUUGACUCAACACGGGAAAACUCACCAGGUCCAGACAUAGUAAGGAUUGA